GUAGCAUAAUCAUUAGUCUCCUAAUUAGAGGCUUGUAUGAAUGGUCGGACAAGAUAGGAACUGUCUCAGCGCAAAUUAUAAAAUUUAAUAUUUAAGUAAAAAAGCUUAAAUAGAAUGGAGGGACGAUAAGACCCUAUAAAGCUUUAUAGUGUAAUUUUUCUAUAUUAAUUUUACAUUUUAGUUUAUUGAAGAAGUAAUACUAUUUUACUGGGGCGGUAGAAGUAUAUUUUAGGUUAACUGCUUUUGUUUUUAAAAACAAUGAUAAUUGGUUAAUAAAUUGAUCCAUUAUUAAUGAUCACAAGAACAAGUUACUUUAGGGAUAACAGCGUAAUUUUUCUUGAGAGUCCAUAUCGAAAGAAAAGUUUGCGACCUCGAUGUUGAAUUAAGAAAGCCUUAAGGUGCAGCAGUUUUAAUAGGCAGAUCUGUUCGAUCUUUAAAUUUUUACAUGAUUUG
rnacentral:rRNA from 1 species